CAGUAGCCGCGGUAAUACGAGGGGGGCAAGCGUUGUUCGGAAUUAUUGGGCGUAAAGGGCGCGUAGGCGGUUUGACAAGUUUGGUGUGAAAUCUAUGGGCUCAACCCAUAGCCUGCAUCGAAAACUGUCGGGCUUGAGUAUGGGAGAGGUGAGUGGAAUUUCCGGUGUAGCGGUGAAAUGCGUAGAUAUCGGAAGGAACACCUGUGGCGAAAGCGGCUCACUGGACCAUUACUGACGCUGAGGCGCGAAAGCUAGGGGAGCAAACAGGAUUAGAUACCCCAGUAGUCCCUGUCUCUUAUAC
rnacentral:rRNA from 1 species